AUUCAGCUGAAGAGUCCCAAAUGGGAUGAAACGCACUUCCUGGAU
rfam:Schistosoma mansoni strain Puerto Rico chromosome 2, complete genome